AUAUUUAUACAGACUCUCGCUGAUUUUGGCCCUAUAUGGCCACCUCAGCAGGAACUCCAAUCAAGAAUUCUGAAGCCGUGAGUGCACUUAUGGACGCUAUCCUGCUACCCACUCAAGUAGGCAUCCUCAAGGUGGCAGCUCACAUGAAGAUCACAGAUAAAAUCUCAAGAGGAAACCACAAAGCAGACAAAGCUUUCAAGUUCAUCCCUCUACAGGUAAUACCUUCCUACAAGUUGUUCUUAUUGAUGACGCCAUUGACUACAAUAUACUGUUGAGCUUACAAAGACAGGCAAGCAAGGAAGAACAUGACCUCUGGAGGAAACAAGAUGCAGAACCUGAUGAUGACAGAAUGUGGAGUAAAGGUAAAAGACUGUGUUUGCCACGAGUGUUGUACCCCAUGAUGGCCCAGAUUGCCCAUGGACCCACAGAUCUAUCCAAGAUGCACAUGAACAGCAUAGUAAACACCCAUUGGUUAGCA